rnacentral:rRNA from 1 species
ACCAAGCCUAUAACCGGUACGGGCCGUGAGAGCGGUAGCCUGGAGAUGGGCACUGAGACAAGGGCCCAGGCCCUACGGGGCGCAGCAGUCGCGAAAACUCCGCAAUGCACGAAAGUGUGACGGGGCUACCCCGAGUGCCGUCCGCUGAGGAUGGCUUUUCCCCGGUGUAACUAGCCGGGGGAAUAAGGAGAGGGCAAGACUGGUGUCAGCCGCCGCGGUAAUACCAGCUCUCCGAGUUGUAGGGAUGAUUAUUGGGCUUAAAGCGUCCGUAGCCGGCUUAGCAAGUCUCCUGUUAAAUUCAGCGACCUAAUCGUUGAGCCGCGGGAGAUACUACUAGGCUAGGAGGCGGGAGAGGUCGACGGUACUUUCGGGGUAGGGGUGAAAUCCUAUAAUCCCGGGAGGACCACCAGUGGCGAAGGCUGUCGACUAGAACGCGCUCGACGGUGAGGGACGAAAGCUGGGGGAGCGAACCGGAUUACAUACCCGGGUAGUCCCAGCUGUAAACGAUGCGGGCUAGGUGUUGGGGUGGCUACGUGCCACUUCAGUGCCGCAAGAAACCAUUACGCCCGCCGCCUGAGGAGUACGGCCGCAGGCUGAAACUUAAGGAUUGGCGGGGGAGCACCACAGGCGUGAGCUUGCUGUUCAAUUGGAUUCAACGCCGGGAAGGCGACUUCC